GGGCAAGAGGCUUAGGGUAGUCUUCUCCUUUACUGAAGUUUUAUCAGAGAAGUCACAAAAAUCUUCCAGAGUAAUUAAUGCUCCUUUCUAAAAGAGGUCAAAUGAGGGAGGUCUUUGAGGAGAGAGGCAGUGCCUAUGUUAGGCAUACCUUGAAGGGAGAGGUAAUCCUGCUAAAGUUGAGGGAUUUGAUCUGCUGGGAAUGGGAAGGAAGCCUCGUUUCUCGGUUUAGAGGAGGACACACUGCUAGAGGAUACACCAGAAAGGAAAGUCUUCUGAAUAGGCGAAAAACACAUCUCGGAAAGGCCUUCCAUAGCUGGCAAUUUUCCAUUUUUGGCAGUAGUUGAGUCAUGGGCAAGGUUUUCUAGUUGUGGUGGAGCAUCAUGUGGAGUCACUACCAGUUGUUUUUCCAGAGAUGGUUUUAUGGUGCUUAGAGCAAGAUUUUGUGAAGAUUGUGGUAAAGGUACUUCCAGUUAAGAUUGUUACAGGUGGAAAGGUGAUUUUUCUGCGUAAGAUUUAUGAGUAUGCAUGGUGAUUGUACAUAGGGUUUCAGUGUUUAGCAGUGGCAUUUUAUUGAGUUGCAGAUAGGGAUUCACUACCAGUUAUUUUGGCAGUGUCACAGACCAUAUUUGCCAUUGAUGUUAGAAGUAGUGGCAUUCUGGAUUUUAUUGAGUUGAAGGACAUAGUUUGGUUAUGUGUCCCAUGACUCCACAUGAGAGGCAUAUAUCUGGAAGUUUCCCAAAUUUGAAAUUAAUCCAUUAUAGGUCCCUUGUUUCUUUCAUGUUGUUAAAUCCUGUCGGAAAUGGCUUGUCGAGUGCCAAAUUGAUCACUCGGAUCUUAAGGAAAUGAGGGUAUCCAAUAAGCCCACCUUGAGUUAAAUCAGUUUCUAGAAAUUCCCCUAUGGCAUUCCCAAUUAUUCUAGCAUUGUCUGUAGUGAGCUAAUUAGGUGGCAGCCCAUAGACUUGAACCCAAAAUGGUGAAUUUGUGAAUUGAAUCUCUUCAAAUCCCAUGUCUAGAGGCCACUCCUAUAUAGUGAGGUGUUGAUUCUAGAUGUUCAAUGGCUGAUUCUCCAUAGCAAAUUUAACAUCCACUUCAUGUUAAAAAAUGAAGAUAAAAGUAUUAAGUUUUUUGGGCAUAAUCUGGAGCUGAUGUCUGGUUCUCCAAGCAGCUUUAAGAGUAGCUUUAAUAGCAGAUCGGUUAAGCCUUUUGGAUGAUAUCACCUUCUCCACUAACACAAAUUGUUGCUUGGUUGCUUGAGUAUUGUCUGAUGAUAGCUUUAAAACUGGGCCUCUGAAAGGAGAUUCUGAGCUUUUGAAAUUAAUUCCAUAAUGUGGCAAUCACUCAUGGUACAAAUGAUGAAGUUGAAAGUAGUGGAGAUGGUCAAUUGUUGGGUUGUAAAGAGUAGGAGGUAGAGGAAUAAAUGCAAAAGGAAUAGGACAAUAAUGGUGAGGUGACUAUAGGAAUGUUUGGUGAAGAGUCUCUGCUGGGUAGUAGGAGUAAAGGUGAAGUUGCUUAUAUUGGAUGAUGUAUAAAUAGCGAAAGCUAUGUGUGGGUUGAGAUAUAUUUAGCUAGAAUUGUGUUUAGAUUAUGGACUUCUUUUUUUUUAGACCUAUUACAAUAUGUUAUGGGUCUCUCACUGUAAUGGGCUACAAGCCCUGUUUUUA
rnacentral:misc_RNA from 1 species